UACAGAGACUGCAAGCGUUAUUCGGAUUCACUGGGCGUAAAGGGUGCGCAGGCGGCCGUGUGUGUGAGGCGUGAAAGCCCGGGGCUCAACCCCGGAAUUGCACCUCAAACUACAUGGCUAGAGCAUUGGAGAGGGAAGCGGAAUUCACGGUGUAGCAGUGAAAUGCGUAGAUAUCGUGAGGAACACCAGAGGCGAAGGCGCUUCCUGGAC
rnacentral:rRNA from 1 species